CGACUUCAAUAUUAACUAGAGAUGCGUAUUUCCAAGGGACGAAUUUAGGCAAUUCGGUCACUGAUCUGUGAAUUUGAUUGAAUAAUUAGCGUGACAACAGACGCCAUUUUAGCACGCUGUAUGGGCAGCCCGUAACACCUGCAGAAAAUAGGGUCGCACGGUCAAUCGUGUUGAAAAAAUAAUAGGGGAAAAAAAUAAAAAUAAUAGGCGGAAAAAAAUAGGGUCGGUCGGGAAAUGGAUUGUACCACAUCUUUAACCCAAUAAAACCCAGUACAGAUGAGCAAGUUUUCCUUGAAAAGUUUUAUUUACUUGUGUGUGCAGCAAAAAAGGACAUUUUUCCUUGCUAAUGAGCCUUGUGCUAAAGUCAGUUAUGUCCAUGUCAACUUUUGGGAGAUAAAUGUUUCAUAACAUUCCACACAGACAAGAAACAAAACUUAUCACAGGAAGCGUGCCUAGGAAAACAUCUUUAUCAUACACAAAAAGGUAAACUUGUUGAUAGACAAU